GAGCCCGUAGCUCAGUUGGUAGAGCACUCGACUUUUAAUCGAGUUGUCGAGGGUUCGAAUCCCUCCGGGCUCA
rnacentral:tRNA from 4 species